ACGCUCGACACCUACGGAGGCAGCAGUGGGGAAUAUUGCACAAUGGGGGAAACCCUGAUGCAGCGACGCCGCGUGAGCGAAGAAGUAUUUCGGUAUGUAAAGCUCUAUCAGCAGGGAAGAAGAAAGACGGUACCUGAGUAAGAAGCCCCGGCUAACUACGUGCAAGCAGCCGCGGUAAUCUGAGCGGGCUGGCAAGGC
rnacentral:rRNA from 1 species